UGUAAGUCGAGAAAAUCAAAGUUAAAUUUAUGUAAAUCAAGGGAAAUCUCCACAUAUAAAGAUACGACACGCUUAUGAUUUUUCUUUGUGUUUUCCUCAUGAAUUAGGAAUGAGUUUUUGAAAGUAUAUAUUUAAUUUGUACAAUUUUAGGGAGUGGUCAUAAUUUAUGGGGUUAUGGUAAAUGGAAGGGGAGGGGGGCAAAAUAAUGGCACAUACAUUAAUGGUACAUACAUUAAUGGUACAAACAUUAAUGGUAUAUACAUUGUUUCUUUUCUUUCGAAUUGACUGGGCUAAAAUCUGUGGUGAUAAAUAUGCAAAGGGAUGGUGAUGGUCUACCAGCAAUUUAUCUUUCCCGAGUUUCUGAUGUUGCACAAUCUUUUUAUGCUGCCAAACAUGGAUGUUGUGUUUUCUUGCAAAAAGGUGCUAACAAUUGCAGUUAACAGUCGCAUGCACUGCUAGGAAGUCAUUAUUGCUGAUGAACUUCUUUCAAUAUCUCACAGCGGCUUGGUGGAUCACUAUCCUUUGGAUAUGUAUACCAUAAAUAUAAAUAAUAUGCCUAAAAUAUUUGUAAGAAUGAAAUACGAUUUAGCCGAUGCAAAACAAUAAAAAAUAAAACUUCUGAAUUCGUG